GUAACUCAAACGUCAUACAUCACAAACCACAUCAGGGCAUCAUAUGAAAAUACCCCUGGGUUUCCGAGGGUUGACUACUUCCUACGUCAGUACGGGACUACUGUGUUGAACUAAUCUGGCGCGGUUACCCAUGCCCAAGUUGAAACAAAAUGGCGGACGAAACGGGAUGUUGAAAUGUGGUUCACUUUUUCUUAGCAGCGCUUAUCAACCCCCUAAAUUGGGAAAAGAUCGAUGGUAUAUGAUAAACAUAUCCUCAGUGCUCUUGCCAGUGAAAACAGCUGCCGUUCCCCUACACUCAAAUUAACCCCACCCUCUUCAAUGCGAUGUUCGAGGUCAUAGCCCCACUUGUCCAUCACUGGCGAGAGGUUGACGUCGCUUAGAGCGCUCCAGAUCUCGUCGUCCGUGUACAUGUCGAGCGGGUCAAGAUUACUCCUGAUAGUUCCACUCAGCAACGUCGGGUUUUGCUGAAUCACGGAGACAACCUGUCUUGUAGACUGCAGGUUGAGCCCGCGUAUAUCAACAUCAUCUAUGUGUAUCCCGGAUGAGGCCUCGGGCAUGCGCAUUAGCGAGGCCACAAUAGAUGACUUGCCGGCCCCAGUCCUUCCAGCGAUGCCGAUUUUUUGCUGAGGCUCAAUGCUGAACGUCACGCCCUUCAGGACUUGGGGUCCAUCGCUGUAGUAUCGGAGAGACACGUAACUGAAUGACACCGCUCCAUGUCGAGGCCAGCCACAUGGUGGUGUUUUUGUGAUCUGAUAGGCCGGUUCCGGGCUGAGCCUGCAGUACUCCAUUACCCGCUGGACUGAUGUCAUUGCGUCUUGAAGGAAGCCAGCGGACUGUAUAACAAACGCGGUAUCUAUCACGAGCAUCAUGGAAUAAGUGAUGGCCAAUCCAAUAAAACCUGUCAAUAAUGAAUAGUAUGAAUGCGUGUUCUUAUAGGAUCAGUGGCGGCGGCAGAAGGGGCGCAUAUUUAUGGCGAACGAGCUUUAACCUUUUAACACUAAAAAUAUUAUUCUUCGGGAGAAAAAUGUGUCCCAGGUAGAUAGUAAAUUGCAAAAUAUGUCCAAAUAGAUGAAAAACCAAACGAUGAAGUAAAUAUUGCUUGGAAUUUCAA